rnacentral:rRNA from 1 species
AUGGGAACGCGAAGAACCUUACCUAGACUUGACAUCUCCUGAAUAGUGUAGAGAUACAUGAAGCCCUUCGGGGCAGGAAGACAGGUGGUGCAUGGUUGUCGUCAGCUCGUGUCGUGAGAUGUUGGGUUAAGUCCCGCAACGAGCGCAACCCUUAUUACUAGUUGCUACCAUUAAGUUGAGCACUCUAGUGAGACUGCCCGGGGUUAACCGGGAGGAAGGCGGGGAUGACGUCAAAUCAUCAUGCCCCUUAUGUCUAGGGCAACACACGUGCUACAAUGGUGAGUACAGAUAGAUGCGAUACCGCAAGGUGGAGCCAAACUCUAAAACUCAUCCCAGUUCGGAUUGUAGGCUGCAACUCGCCUACAUGAAGUUGGAGUUGCUAGUAAUCGCGAAUCAGAAUGUCGCGGUGAAUACGUUCCCGGGUCUUGUACACACCG